rnacentral:rRNA from 1 species
GAUGAACGCUGGCGGCGCGCCUAACACAUGCAAGUCGAACGAGUGGCGAACGGGGGAGUAACACGUGACCAACCCGCCCCCCCCACCGGGACAACCUCGGGAAACCGAGGCUAAUACCGGAUAGGAGGGGAGGGGGUGGCGGCCCAUCAGGUAGACGGCGGGGCGAAGGCCCGCCGUGCCGACGACGGGUGGCCGGGCGAAGGGGCCGAGCGGCCACUUCGGGACUGAGGCACGGCCCAGACUCCUUCGGGAGGGAGCAGUGGGGAGUAUGGCGCAAUGGGGGGAACCCUGCAGCAGCGACGGCGCGUGCGGGAAGGAGGCCUUAGGGUCGUAAGCCGCUUUCAGCAGGGAAGCGGUACCUGCAGAAGAAGCCCCGGCUAACUACGUGCCAGCAGCCGCGGUAAUUC